rnacentral:rRNA from 1 species
UACAGAGACUGCAAGCGUUAUUCGGAUUCACUGGGCGUAAAGGGUGCGUAGGCGGUCGGGUAAGUCUGAUGUGAAAUCUCAGAGCUCAACUCUGAAACUGCAUUGGAUACUAUUCGGCUUGAGGUCUGGAGGGGGGACUGGAAUUCUCGGUGUAGCAGUGAAAUGCGUAGAUAUCGAGAGGAACACCAGUGGCGAAGGCGAGUCCCUGGACAGGUCCUGACGCUGAGGCACGAAAGCGUGGGGAGCGAACAGG